GACGUAGGGGGCAAGCGUUGUCCGGAAUUACUGGGCGUAAAGCGCGUGCAGGCGGCUUUGUAAGUCCCGUGUGAAAGCCUACGGCUCAACUGUAGGAGGCCGCGGGAUACUGCGAGGCUCGAGGGCAGGAGAGGGAAGUAGAAUUCCCGGUGUAGUGGUGAAAUGCGUAGAUAUCGGGAGGAAUGCCAGUGGCGAAGGCGGCUUCCUGGCCUGCCCCUGACGCUGAGACGCGAAAGCUGGGGGAGCGAACGGG
rnacentral:rRNA from 1 species